AUGUUCAAGCUGGAUUUAGAAAAACCAGAGGAACCAGAGAUCAAAUUGCCAAUAUCCGUUGGAUCAUCAAAAAAGCAAGAGAGUUCCAGAAAAACAUCUACUUCUGCUUUAUUGACUAUGCCAAAGCUUUUGACUGUGUGGAUCACAAUAAACUGUGGAAAAUUGUUCAAGAGAUGGGGAAUACCAGACCACAUUACCUGCCUCCUGAGAAACCUGUAUGCAGGUCAAGAAGCAACAGUUAGAACCGGACAUGGAACAACAUACUUGUUCCAGAUCAGGAAAGGAGUACGUCAAGGCUAUAUAUUGUCACCCUGCUGCUUAUUUAACUUAUAUGCAGAGUACAUCAUGCAAAAUGCCAGGCUGGAAGAAGCACAAGCUGGAAUCAAGAUUGCCAGGAGAAAUAUCAAUAACCCCAGAAGUGCAGAUGACACCACCCUUAUGGCAGAAAGAAAAGAAGAACUAAAGAGCCUCUUGAUGAAAGUGAAACAGGAGAGUGAAAAAGUUGGCUUAAAACUCAAUAUUCAGAAAACUAAGAUCAUGGCAUCUAGUCCCAUCACUUCAUGGCAAAUAGAUAGGGAAACAAUGAAAACAGUGAGAGACUAUUUUUUGGGCUCCAAAAUCACUGAAGAUGAUGACUGCAGCCAUGAAAUUAAAAGACACUUGCUCUUUGGAAGAAAAGUUAUUAUCUACCUAGACAGCAUAUUAAAAGGCAGAGAUAUUACUUUGCUGACAACAGUCCAUCUAGUCAAAGCUCUGGUUUUUCCAGUAGUCAUGUAUGGAUGUGAGAGUUGGACUAUAAAGAAAGCUGAGCACCGAAGAACUGAUGCUUUUGAACUGUGGUGUUGGAGAAGACUCUUGAGAGUCCCUUGGACUGCAAGGAGAUCCAACCAGUCAAUCCUAAAGGAAAUCAGUCCUGAAUAUUCAUUGGAAGGACUGAUGCUGAAGCUGAAACUCCAAUACUUUGGCCACCUGAUGCGAAGAAUUGACUCAUUGGAAAAGACAGUGAUGCUGGACAAGAUUGAAGGCAGGAGGAGAAGGGGACGACAGAGGAUGAGAUGCUUGGAUGGCAUCACCGACUCGAUGGACAUGAGUUUGAGUAAGCUCCAGGAGUUGGUGAUGGACAGGAAAGCCUGGUGUGCUACAGUUCAUGGGGUCGCAGAGUCGGACACGACUGAGCGACUCAACUGA
rnacentral:lncRNA from 1 species